rnacentral:pre_miRNA from 1 species
UUUAUGUUCAAUAUCUAAUAUCCAAUUUUAAUCCUCCAUCUUAUUUAAAAGAAUUUAUAAUUAAUAUUUUUUAUUGUUACGAGAUAAUAAAACAUAAAUAGUAUUUUAUACGUGAUUUAUGUUUUUAUCUUUUUUAAAAAUAAUUUUAAAUAAGACGGUCGAUUAAAGUUGAGUAUGAAAAAUCAUGGUUACACUUAAA